rnacentral:misc_RNA from 1 species
GAUGAAGAAACGCAGCGAAAUGCGAUAAGUAAUGUGAAUUGCAGAAUUCAGUGAAUCGUCGAAUCUUUGAACGCACAUUGCGCCCGCCAGUAUUCUGGCGGGCAUGCCUGUCCGAGCGUCAUUUCAACCCUCGAACCCCUCCGGGGGGUCGGCGUUGGGGACCUCGGGAGCCCCUAAGACGGGAUCCCGGCCCCGAAAUACAGUGGCGGUCUCGCCGCAGCCUCUCCUGCGCAGUAGUUUGCACAACUCGCACCGGGAGCGCGGCGCGUCCACGUCCGUAAAACACCCAACUUCUGAAAUGUUGACCUCGGAUCAGGUAGGAAUACCCGCUGAACUUAAGCAUAUCAAUAAGCGGAGGA